CCUACGGGCGGCUGCAGUGAGGAAUAUUGGUCAAUGGGCGGAAGCCUGAACCAGCCAAGUAGCGUGCAGGAUGACGGCCCUAUGGGUUGUAAACUGCUUUUAUGCGGGGAUAAAGUAUGGGACGUGUCCCAUUUUGCAGGUACCGCAUGAAUAAGGACCGGCUAAUUCCGUGCCAGCAGCCGCGGUAAUACGGAAGGUCCGGGCGUUAUCCGGAUUCAUUGGGUUUAAAGGGAGCGUAGGCCGCCCCUUAAGCGUGUUGUGAAAUGCCGCGGCUCAACCGUGGCACUGCAGCGCGAACUGGGGGGCUUGAGUGUGCGCGACGCAGGCGGAAUUCGUGGUGUAGCGGUGAAAUGCUUAGAUAUCACGAGGAACCCCGAUUGCGAAGGCAGCUUGCGGGAGCACUACUGACGCUGAAGCUCGAAGGCGCGGGUAUCGAACAGGAUUAGAUACCCUGGUAGUC
rnacentral:rRNA from 1 species